rnacentral:rRNA from 1 species
AGGACGAACGCUGGCGGCGUGCUUAACACAUGCAAGUCGAGCGGUAAGGCCCUUUCGGGGGUACACGAGCGGCGAACGGGUGAGUAACACGUGGGUGACCUGCCCUUAGCUCUGGGAUAAGCCUGGGAAACUGGGUCUAAUACCGGAUAUGACCUCGCGAUGCAUGUCGUGGGGUGGAAAGCCUUGUGCGGCUAGGGGAUGGGCCCGCGGCCUAUCAGCUUGUUGGUGGGGUGAUGGCCUACCAAGGCGACGACGGGUAGCCGGCCUGAGAGGGCGACCGGCCACACUGGGACUGAGACACGGCCCAGACUCCUACGGGAGGCAGCAGUGGGGAAUCUUGCGCAAUGGGCGAAAGCCUGACGCAGCGACGCCGCGUGAGGGAUGACGGCCUUCGGGUUGUAAACCUCUUUCAGCCCUGACGAAGCGAAGUGACGGUAGGGCAGAAGAGCACCGGCCAACUACGCGCCAGCAGCCGCGGUAA